rnacentral:tRNA from 1 species
GGCUCUUUUAGUCUAAUGGACGUCGAGUUGUGGGUUCGAAGGAUUUAGGGAGCA